GUCGGCGACCAUACCACGUUGAAAGCACCGGUUGUCGUCCGAUCACCGAAGUUAAGCAACGUUGGACCCGGUUAGUACUUGCAUGGGUGACCAGCUGGGAAUACCGGGUGUUGCUGGCU
rnacentral:rRNA from 1 species